rnacentral:rRNA from 1 species
UAAAUUGCUGUGGUAUUUUGACUAUACAAAGGUAUUGAAAUAAGACUUUAAUUGAGUGCUAAGAGAAUGGAAUUACAAAAAAUUUCUUUCUUAAAUUUAAAAACCGAAGUUAUUUUUCUUUGUGAAGAAACAAUAAUAAAAAUUAGGGACAAGAAGACCCUAAGAAUUUUUAAAAGUAGUAUAUAAUUUAGUAUUACACUAUUUUUUUAAUUGGGGCGAUUAACAAAAAUUAAAAACUUUGUUUAUUAUUAAAAAAUGAACCAUUAAUAAUGGGAAAAUGAAUAAAAUACUCUAGGGAUAACAGCGUAAUAAUUUUUGAUAGUUCUUAUAGACAAAAUAGUUUGCGACCUCGAUGUUGGAUUAGGAUACUUUUUUGAUGAAGAAGUUAAAAAAAGAAGUUUGUUCAA